UACGUAGGGUACAAGCAUUAAUCGGAAUUAUUGGGCGUAAAGGGCGCGUAGGCGGCCUGAUAAGUAGGGGGUGAAAUUCUGCGGCUUAACCGCAGGACUGCCUUCUAAACUGUCGGGCUGGAGCACGGUAGAGGCAGAUGGAAUUCCCGGUGUAGCGGUGGAAUGCGUAGAGAUCGGGAAGAACAUCAGUGGCGAAGGCGGUCUGCUGGGCCGUUGCUGACGCUGAGGCGCGACAGCGUGGGGAGCAAACAGG
rnacentral:rRNA from 1 species